CAGACCUUGCCUCAAGAAUUAUCUAAGAGCGACCUAACACUGUGUGUGACAGAAACAUCAUAAUUCACACUUCUCCCUAUAAUCUCCGAGUAUCAAUGUUCAAAAUGGAUUGAAAAGAAAUUCCAGAAUGGCCUAUUAAAUACAGCUAUCACAAUUAAAAUGGUAAACUUCCAAAACCCUAAUCAAUCAAAUCCACUUAAAAUUGAAGUAGAAACGCAUCCACAUCAUUCUUUUGUUGAUUCCUGAAUUGCACAGUUAACGGAUGAUGUGGAUGCG
rnacentral:misc_RNA from 1 species